rnacentral:rRNA from 1 species
UGGGGAAUCUUCCGCAAUGGACGAAAGUCUGACGGAGCAACGCCGCGUGAGUGAUGACGGCCUUCGGGUUGUAAAGCUCUGUUAAUCGGGACGAAUGGUUCUUGUGCGAAUAGUGCAAGGAUUUGACGGUACCGGAAUAGAAAGCCACGGCUAACUACGUGCCAGCAGCCGCGGUAAUACGUAGGUGGCAAGCGUUGUCCGGAAUUAUUGGGCGUAAAGCGCGCGCAGGCGGAUUGGUCAGUCUGUCUUAAAAGUUCGGGGCUUAACCCCGUGAUGGGAUGGAAACUGCCAAUCUAGAGUAUCGGAGAGGAAAGUAGAAUUCCUAGUGUAGCGGUGAAAUGCGUAGAUAUUAGGAAGAACACCAGUGGCGACGGCGACUUUCUGGACGAAAACUGACGCUGAGGCGCGAAAGCCAGGGGAGCGAACGGG